GAUCCUGGCUCAGGAUGAACGCUAGCUACAGGCUUAACACAUGCAAGUCGAGGGGCAGCAUGGUCUUAGCUUGCUAAGGCUGAUGGCGACCGGCGCACGGGUGAGUAACGCGUAUGCAACCUGCCCGAUACCGGGGUAUAGCCCAUGGAAACGUGGAUUAACACCCCAUAGUACUUUUAUCCUGCAUGGGAUGUGAGUUAAAUGUUCAAGGUAUCGGAUGGGCAUGCGU
rnacentral:rRNA from 1 species